rnacentral:rRNA from 1 species
UACGAAGGGGGCUAGCGUUGUUCGGAUUUACUGGGCGUAAAGCGCACGUAGGCGGACUAUUAAGUCAGGGGUGAAAUCCCGGGGCUCAACCCCGGAACUGCCUUUGAUACUGGUAGUCUUGAGUUCGAGAGAGGUGAGUGGAAUUCCGAGUGUAGAGGUGAAAUUCGUAGAUAUUCGGAGGAACACCAGUGGCGAAGGCGGCUCACUGGCUCGAUACUGACGCUGAGGUGCGACAGCGUGGGGAGCAAACAGG